UACGGAGGAUCCAAGCGUUAUCCGGAUUCAUUGGGUUUAAAGGGUGCGUAGGCGGAAUGAUAAGUCAGUGGUGAAAUCUCGGAGCUUAACUCCGAAACUGCCAUUGAUACUGUCAAUCUUGAGUACAUUUGAUGUGGGCGGAAUGUGUCAUGUAGCGGUGAAAUGCUUAGAUAAUGACACAGAACACCGAUUGCGAAGGCAGCUCACAAAACUGUAACUGACGCUGAGGCACGAAAGCGUGGGUAUCAAACAGG
rnacentral:rRNA from 1 species